CGUCGAGUUAGUGGUCAUUUUCGAAUGAGAUGAGACAACUUAAAAAAGUACAUAAGAAAUUUGUUGGCCUUUGAACAAGCACGAAAUGUUAUAGAAGUGAACUAUUACCUCCCUCAUAUGUGAGUGUUUCUUAAAGACAGUUUCGAGCAAUUAUUAGUUGUGUUCGGGAACUCAAAAACUUGGACAAAUUUGCACAAAUUUUUGCUGAAAGUCGUUCGCGUACUUUAUUUGCCAGCAGAAGAGAGCGAGAGAGGGAGCAAAUUUUGACAGAAAAUAGAGAACCUACAAUUUUUUUUUACCAGCAGAAAUUUGCAUCUUUGCAACAGAUGAUUUGUAAAGGUCAGUUUUAUGAAAAGCAGCUGUUACAUGAAAAUACAAAAGCUUACGCCAAAAUGUAUCAAAAAGGCAGAGAUUCAUGGCAACAGCUAGUGUUCAGAUACAGAAAACCCAACAAAUGAGUGCAACAUUUGGAGGAUUAUUUGGAAAAUCUUGAAAAAUUCAAACAUUGCUUCCAGACACCAAGAAAAGAGCAAUUAUCGGUUUCUUUAGUGUUUCGAUGGAAUCAUCCACAUCGGGAAGCUACAAUGAAACCAACACCGUUCCUUUGAAUUUGUUAAGGAGGGAAGAUUGAGUGGGUCUAGCUGGGCAGUUAAACAAUUGACGCACAGUGGGAUUAGAAAAAAAUAGUCCAUUAACAGCCCGCUUUAUAACAGCU